AUCUCAGUUUCGAAGUAAUUUGUUGACGAAUCGUUCAAAUGAAAACUUACGCUCUUCACACUAUCCUGCAGAUUUCCUAUUGAAAACCUACGUUUCAACCCUAACCCUAGAUUUACUCGAACAGAUUUAAGGUUCCUGCUGCAGAAAUUGAAAUUUAGGGUUUGAGGUUAUGUUUUGAGAUGAACCGCUGCUUUGCUGCAAGAAUCGAGAUUGAAUGGGUUGCGGAGAAUGAUGUUGGUGGUUGGAUUUGAGAUUGAAAUUUAGGGUUUGAGAUUUGUGGAGAUCGAAAGUUAGGGUUGGAUUUGAGAUUGAAAAUUAGGGUGGAAAAGAUAAAAAUUGAAAGUUAGGGUUUGAGAUUUGUGGAGUUUGAAAGUUAGGGUUGGGUUUGAGUUUGAAAGUUGUGUGGAAAAGAUAAAAAUAUAAAGUUCGGAUUGGAUUCGAGAUUCUGAGAUUGAAUGGGUUUGCAUAGACUAAUAUUGGUGGUUGGAUUUGUAGAGUUUGAAGCUGCUUUAACUAGAUUGUGCAGAUGAUAAAGUGGUGCUGUCAUGUGAGAAUUGAAGCCUAUGCUGAGGAACUGAAGAUGGCAUUGCUGCUUGGUGUCGGUGCUACUACUAAGUGGUGGUUGUGCAAUGGUUAGGACUGAUUUAGGAGACAAGGAAUGAGAAUAUUCAGAAAUGCAAGUGGUGUUGUUGCUGGGAUUGCAAUGGUUGCACUGGAGUUGGAGAUGGCUGGCGUUUGUAGAGCAAUGCUUUGCAGGAAAUGUGUUGUGAAACAGUUGAGUGUUGGAAAUGGUUAGCUUGUAGAAUGUUGCCAUUGUUACUGCUUGUCUUUCUCUCCCCGUUGAAAAGGUGAUCCUCUUCAAACACCAAGUACACAUCCUAUACCUCCUCCAAUGCUAAGUGUAUGAGGUGAUUUCUGUAUUGCAGCUGCUCUACCGACAGGUAACUCAUGUUGCACUUGUAUUUGAAGUUCACAUGGGUUGGAUUAACGAGAACGAUGCCAUGGCUGCUACUGUACUUCAGGUGAAGAAAUUAAGAGAGGAGCUCAAUACAACCAGGGAAAACACACCUCUGGGCACCGGGAAAACUGCACAUCAAGGUGUUUGCUUAAAAGCCUGAAAGAAUAGAAAAAGAGUUUUGGCAUAAGCUUUAGAUCAGAGUUGGGGCUAUCGUGACUGCAUGCUGCUAGAUUCUAAGGCAAGUUUGUUUUGUCUUUGUAUCGGAGAAGGCUUAAUUAUAAUUUAAAAUUGGGUUUUGUAGCUAAUUCAUAUUCCUAAGGUUUAUCAUAGAAAUAAGCUCCUAGUUUCCGUGCAGUAUAUGGAUGUUUAAUCAUUGUUGGCAUUGUGGAAAUCUUGUGACUAACCUAUAACAUCACAAGAGGUGACUGAGGUCAGUGAUUAACCUAUUUCUGUCAUAUAUUAUUAUCAUGCUCUGUUUUUCUUGUGAUCAAUAUUGUGGAAGUUGCUGCCAGAUGGGGUCUUAGUGUGUUUAAUGAUUGGUUGCACUUAGUUUUCUCUAUACGUUUGCUGAGAUGCAAAGACUACUCAAUUCUUGACCACCAUAUUAUGUUUAUUUGUCCACUUUUUAGUAGAUUAGUUAUUUUUUUUAUGUAUCCAUCUUUAUAUUUUUAGUUUAGCGAGAAUGGAGAAUUGUUGCUCAAAAGUGAGGCUUCAUUAACGGAAAAGCAUGCAUACUACUAAUUACAUCAUAACCACAGUCUUUUGCUCCCUGGAUAUAGAUGCUCUUAAGUGCACGUUGGAGGAAUGGUGGAUUCAUAAAAUGCUCGGCAUUAUUUCAGCGUGGAGUAUGUUAAAGAAUUUUCCCGGACUAGGACAUGUUUUAAGAUUGGAUCUACUCGUUUUAUCGACUUAUUUCAGAUAGAUGCUGCCUGUAAUAAUCUAAAUGUGGCGUUGUGAUAGGCUCUGUAACGGGUGGCAUGAAGUGGUUGUCGAGAAGUUGCUGACUUUGCAACUUAUGCAUUUGGGCCAACUAUUGUGGUCACUCCUUUUGGUGCACUCAGCAUUAUUAUCAGGCACGAAACAAGUUCAUUCCCCAAGUUGUGUGCUCUUUCCUCUUCAGUUUUUGGGCUAAGUGUCAUAUUUUUUUGCACUGCCGCAUUUGCAAAACAUAGAAAUAUCUUAUGGAAAAGAAGUCCUUUUCAUUUCUAGUUUUAUUUUUUUGUUCAACAAUUUUCGUAAAGUACAUUGUUUAGCUAAAUUUGGUUC